UGAGCCCUGCUUGCAGCGGUGGUCCUCUGGCACUGGUAGACCAUUCUCAACACCACUUUCCGGGUGACCCUGGGGCAGCCUCUGAAGCCAGCCGUCCUUAGGUUCUCUUACUCAAAGUUGACUUUGGGUCCCUAGUUGUGCUUCCUCCAUCCUGACUGUGAGAGCUUCCAGAGGUCACGGUCCAUCAGUUGCGCCAUCCCAGCGUCUUUAUCCCAGGUCACGAAGUCCUACAUCAGCGUGCCACGGGGAAGGGCAAGGCCUGGUCAUAAAAGUCAGACUCCUAGGACACCAGGGCCCAGGCAGUGUAGGGGUAGUAGAUGAAACAUGUUUCCUGCUGGCUGAGGUGCCAGGGAAGAGUCACCUCCUUGCUGCCCCUGGACCAGACAGGUCCGGAUGCCCUUGAACUGCAUUCCCAAAGGAGCUCCAGUUCAAAGCCACCAGUGCAGCAACUGGGACAACACCGUGAGGAACAUUUACAAGCAGAGGAAAGAGUAAGUACAAACACCCCGAGGGGAGAACGAGAUUGAUCUUCAGAGCACUGUGCAGUAAAGAGAGCCAUGGAUUUACCAGUUCUCAAGCUGAGGCACAGUGUGAAGAAGGCUUCUUGGAGCAAUGUGGAGAACUGGAUGGCAAGCUGUGAGCAACUUCCAUUGUGAAUCAAGAAUUCAUUCAAAACACAUCUGACUUCAGGUUUUCCUUUUAACAGUAAAAAUGGCAACA